rnacentral:misc_RNA from 1 species
GAAAUGCGAUAAGUAGUGUGAAUUGCAGAAUUUAGCGAAUCAUCGAAUCUUUGAACGCACAUUGCGCCCCUUGGUAUUCCAUGGGGCAUGCCUGUUCGAGCGUCAUUUCAACCCUCAAGCACUGCUUGGUGUUGGGCGUUUGUCCCGCCUACACGCGUGGACUCGCCUCAAAGUCAUUGGCAGCUGUUCCCCUUCGGCUCGUAAGCGCAGCACAGUCGGCGCCUGGAGCUCUGGUGGGAUGGCGUCCAGCAAGCUAUAUUUUCAGGCUUGACCUCGGAUCAGGUAGGGAUACCCGCUGAACUUAAGC